CGUGUUUAUCAAAACUGAAACUUCCUAACUUCCCCCACUCGAUUCUUCUGAGUUUCUUUUUCUUAACACAGCCAUUAAACUUGAUCAGCGUAUUUAAUCAACUUCAUCACGUAAAUAUCUUUAAUUUUCUCUAAAACCCCAAUGUUUACUGAAACUUGAACCCAUUUCGAUUCCGAUUCCAAUUCCAAUUUCUAAACAAAGAUUUAGCUCGAAAGGGUGAAAAUGGUGGUGGGUUGAUGCCAAAGACGAACAUAGAAAAGAUUUCAUCAUCAUCAUACAUUUCAUCAUCAUCUAGAUCUGGACUAGAAAUCUUUCAUAAGAGAUUGAAGAGGAGUAGUGGAGGAUUGUAUUUGGUUAGAGAUUGAAGAGGAGCAGAGGAGGAUUGUACAAGAGCUAUCGAACUAGACAGCACUCCUUGCAUUACGGAUUGCGUCAUGGCAGAGCUUGUGAAAUUGGGUCAGAAGUACCAAAAACAAGAUAUAUGCAUUAUUGACGAGAGAGCUGCACUGUCAUGGUCCAGGGUCGUCCUCGAGGUGAUAAACUUUUGGUAAUCUGCACUGUAAUGUCAACUUUGUUCAUCUGGCGCGGAUUAGUCAGCUUGUAUUGGUCUCUCUUGGCUGCAUGUGUUGUGACGUGCAGAAGUGGAGCUUGGAUCUUUGAAAGGUCGUCAUCCUUUAAUGGAAGAUGUAAAGAAGAAGGCAGUUGCACUUGGACAUGUUAAUUUUAGUACACCACCAAAUGAUGAAAAUUAUGAAGUCCUUAUAGAUGAGAAUACGGAUAGCAAUAUGGAACUGUAUGUGUUGGAGAUGGAAAACUUGGAUAUAUUGAUCCCAGUGAGACGAUUGAAUGGCCAAAGCAAUACGUAACUCGUGCACUUGGAUGUUAAAUCAUAAUAUUUUUAUUUUUUUAUUGUUUUUUCUUCUUUGUUGUUAUGAACAUGAAGUAGCUUUUGUUGUUGAAUAUAAUUGUUGAGUUGUUAAAUGAAUUAUAAAUUAUUUUUAAUAGAAUGGGUUACGUUUGCCUACAAAA